CUCGUUCACCAAGAACCGGAUAACCUUCUCCGAGCCAGCUUUCUGGCGAUCGUUACAACUUUUGCAGUCAUUUUCCAGGGCGUCAGGCAGCAAGUCUGUGAAAAAGCGAAAGUUUUCGUAAUUAGAAUACCUGAACACUCCAGUCACGAAUUCGUAGCAUCGUAU